GUUACAGAUUCCUGUUCACUCCUGUGAUCAAGUACUUCUUGCGCUUGCUUGUCAUGACACCAAGUAAUGAAAUGAGUAAGUGUAUUAGCUCACAGACGGCCUCCUUCUCUCGCCGCACUUCAACUUCCGGAGGUCACAUGAGGACUUUAGGUAGACUACGGCCCAUGCUGACUCAAGCUGCUGCAAACUCACUUGCUGUGGUUGUUCCAAAACUUCAAAGCUGUGUACAGCUGUACCUGGCUGAGUAUGACUGUCCAGAGAUCUGUAGACUGUCUCAACAGGAAGAUGGCUUCUUUACAUCCAGGAAAAGAAAACAAAGAACCAAAAGGUUUUCACAAGUCAAAGAACUCUUCGUCUGCAUCAGCAAGCAUAGAGGGAGGUUCAGAGAGUAAAAUGGAUAUGUUUGACUCUUCACAGAGUGGAUUCCAACAGCAAAUGAUUUUCAGCUUUUAAAACCAAUCAGCAGAGGAUCAUUUGGGAAAGUUUUUCUUGGCUGCAAAAAGUCUGACCCAGACAAACUGUAUACAAUCAAAGUGAUGAAGAAGGCAGACCUGAUAAAUAAGAACCUUAUUGCACAAGGUAAUUAUAUGCAAGUUUAUGAGCCCAUGUGUGUCAGUGAUGCAUGUGUUCAUGCACACAUAUGCAGAUGCUUUUUUUUGUUCAGGAUACAGCUUUUGCUGUUUUAGUCAUCCCUUGUCUCUGGUCCUACAGAAAAGUGAUGUUUUGACAAAAGUUUCUUAGAUAGGCAGGGUUGAUAACUGAUGCUGAUUAUCACAUCCUUGAUUUGGUAAGUAGAGGAGACUUAACUAAGGAAAUAUUGCGUUUCAGCAAAGCAUCAUAUUGCGUUUCAGCAAAGCAUCAUCAUGUUGUCAAACAUUUUAUGAGAUAAGUAUUUAUUCAAAGAGAACAUGGACAUUAUUUAUAUCUUAUUACAGUUUUGACUAAAAAAAAAGUGAACUCAAUUGCCUGUGAGAGUUAAAGAGUCGUUAGGAUCAAAGGACUGCUGAUGUGUAAAAAUCAAGGUCACUUGCCUUUUUCUUUUUAUUUUAGUAAACUCUUUCUGUUAAAUUUGAUAAAGAGUAUGACCAGGUCUGCGCAGAGCAGUUCUACAUGAUACCACCCCUUCUUUGAUAAAGUUAUUCUGUUAUUCUCAGGCUCUUUGAUCAUGUCCUAUUUUCUGUUUUUAUUUUUUUCUACAUUCUGCCAUUCUUGUAACCUGAGUUAUUCUUGAAAAGUCUUUUUAAAAGUAAUGUUUUGUAAUUCCUAGUGACAACAGAAAGAGAUGCUUUGGCAAUGAUUCACAGCCCUUUUGUGGUGGAGCUAUACUAUUCCAUACAGUCAGAACAAAAUAUUUACUUGGUAUAUAAAUUAUGACAUUGAUGUUUGCAGGUUACAGCAUUAGUGCAUGUGGGUUUUAGUACCAAUGCACUGAAAUGAAUAGUUUGUUUAAGUUGGUAUAGUUUUAUACCAUCAUAAGUACAUACAACCAAUAUUUUCUUUUUCAUAAAAUUUGUUAACUUAUCAGGGUAAAGGUGAAAAAUAAUUUUAUACUAACAGAAAGCAAAGGUAUAUAGUCAAUGAAAGCUGUUGAUAUCUGUAAUGCUUUUGUAAAACUAUGAAAGUAUUUUGUAAGGCCUGCCAUUCUCUUUAACUGUUUUGUACUAAUAUUGAAAAGAACAUAUUUGCUGAAACAUCAAUAACAACAAAUAUGGGUGACUUGCUGCUGUAGGUAAUGGAGUACUUGGUAGGAGGAGAUGUGAAGAGUCUGCUAGCUGUCUAUGGAUACCUGGGAGAACAAGUGUCAUGCAUGUAUGCAGCAGAAGUGGUCCUUGCACUGGAGCACCUGCACAGACUUGGUAUUAUUCAUAGGCCCUGCUGUUGACUGAUGGGCUAUGGGAGUACGUUUUGAGUUUUUGACAGGACUUCCACCCUUCAAUGAUGAGACUCCAGAGCUAGUGUUUGCCAACAUUCUCAACAGAAGUUUGUCUGCUUUCAGCAUUCUUACUUUUAGAAAUGCAAUUUCCUGGCCUAACAUCAUGGACGCGCUGGGUGUGGAGGCGCAGGAAGCCAUCAACCUGCUACUCACCAUGGACCCUCAGCAACUGCCAGGUGCUGUUGAAGUUAAAGCAAUGGCCAUUUUCUUCAACCUGGAUUGGGACAGAAUACUGGAAACAGAGCCUGCUUUUAUUCCACACCCUGACAAUGACAUGGACACGUCAUACUUUGACCCAAAAAACACAUUGCAGCAAUUAAAAAUAUCUGCAGUUGAUCUGUGAUCCAUCGCUUGGUUUAAAUGCCACAAAACGAAAGUCAUCUUUUCUAGUCAUUUGCAAGAAUGGUUUGUCACAAACACAAGCCUUCUAGUGUGUUUACUGAAAAUGGAAAGAAGCACUGGGAUUGCAGUCUGGUGAAGCAGCUGUGUUCCUGGGAUUGCAAAGUCACUUUUUUUAGCAUCAGGAGAUGCUGGUCAGCUUUCAAAGAAGUUUACGUUAAUACCUGGAGCAUUAUUUGUCAACUCACUAAAUUGUGAAUUCUCUAAGAUACCAUUUCCAUUUUGAAAAGAAAACUGCUGAGAAAUACAUUUGAACAUUUUUUUUUUUUCGUAACACUUACUUAUUUUGGACCCUUUCAAGAUGAACUAUUUUUUGUUGUGUUUUUCUGUUUUAUUUUAAAGGGAAUAUUUUUGAAUGAAUAUCUGGCACCUAGAGCACCAAGUCGGUGGCGCAACGGUUAGUGCUGUUAGCGCCUGUCACCAAUACAGUGAAGGUUGGCUGCCCUGAGUUCAUUUCUCGUCUCGGGCACGCUGUUCUUUCUCUGCACGUGGCAUCUGUUUACAGGGCUGG